UACGAAGGGGGCUAGCGUUGUUCGGAAUCACUGGGCGUAAAGCGCACGUAGGCGGAUCUUUAAGUCAGAGGUGAAAGCCUGGAGCUCAACUCCAGAACUGCCUUUGAUACUGGGGAUCUCGAGUCCGGGAGAGGUGAGUGGAACUGCGAGUGUAGAGGUGAAAUUCGUAGAUAUUCGCAAGAACACCAGUGGCGAAGGCGGCUCACUGGCCCGAUACUGACGCUGAGGUGCGAAAGCGUGGGGAGCAAACAGG
rnacentral:rRNA from 1 species